rnacentral:lncRNA from 1 species
GUCUCCGACGCUUCCUUCUGGGUGUUACAAACUUCGUGGCAAACUUAAUAUACCCUGUUCAGGGAAUAAUUAAGACAAGUCUGUGACGCUUGAAAGUCAGUCUAUUCUUUUGAGACUUCAAUGGAAAUGGUUAAGCUUGGACUCGACCAACAAGUUCCCUUUAGCAAUUAACAUACAUAUGUAUGUAUGUAUGUAUGUAUGUAUGUAUAGCUUUUUGUCUACCAACUCAUCAUUUACUCAUCAACAGUAGAUCACACGUAUGUAUGUAAGUCGUGUCAAGCUG